CAUGAGAGAUGAUGACAAAUAAUAAUUUAAAAAAAUGUCUCAAUUCUCCUCUUCUCAUUCUGGUGAGCGAUGCAAAAAGCUGACGUGUAACCAAUGAAGCCCACUACGAUUGGGCUCUUUGCUUCUCAAUCUUCUUCUUUCUCCGUCACGUUUCCGAGCUUCCGCGGCCAGCUUCCGAUUAGCUACUUCUCAGCUAACAACCAGAAGAAGACGAAAAACGUCGUCACUCUUUGCCUUCAUUCUGAUUCCGAUGUCUCCUCCUCUCAAAUUGCCUUCACUCGCCGCGCAAUUCUCGUCGCGCCACCGCUCCUCGCCGCAGCUGCUUCGAUGUUUUUUUCUGUUUCCUCAGCCGUCGCUGCUGAGACUAUUGCGGAAUCAGUAGCUCCUCCUCCUGUUGCCGUCUCUGCUGCUCCUCCUCCUCCGCCUGUUUCUGUUGAGAAGGAAGAAGCGAUAGUGUCUAGAAUCUAUGACGCGUCGGUGCUUGGUGAGCCGAUGGCUGUUGGGAAAGAUAAGAAGAGAGUCUGGGAGAAGCUUUUGAAUGCGAGGAUUGUGUAUCUCGGUGAAGCGGAACAAGUGCCUACAAGAGAUGAUAAGGUUCUCGAGCUCGAAAUCGUUAGGAAUUUGAGGAAGCGAUGUGUAGAGAGCGAUCGUCAGCUAUCUCUUGCAUUGGAAGCUUUUCCUCUUGAUUUGCAGGAACAGUUGAAUCAAUUCAUGGAUAAGAGGAUGGAUGGAGAAGUAUUGAAGUCGUAUGUCUCACAUUGGCCGUCUCAACGUUGGCAAGAGUAUGAGCCUCUUUUAAGCUACUGUCGAGAUAACGCAGUUAAACUCAUUGCUUGUGGCACUCCGCUCAAGGUUUUGAGAACUGUCCAAGCUGAGGGAAUCCGUGGUCUUUCAGAGUCUGAGCGUAAAUUAUACACUCCUCCUGCGGGUUCAGGCUUUAUCUCAGGGUUUACGUCCUUCUCACGUAGUUCUACGCUCAAUAUAAAUCCCCUCACACAGAUUGUUCCGUUUGGACCGAGCUCGUAUUUGUCGGCGCAAGCAAGAGUUGUUGAAGAUCAUACAAUGUCGCAAGUUAUUUUACAAGCAGUUGCAGAUGAAGGUGGGACUGGUUUUCUGUUAGUGGUGACAGGGGCAAACCAUGUGGAGUAUGGGUCAAGAGGAACAGGUUUGCCGGCAAGGAUCUCGAGGAAGAUUCCGAAGAAAAGUCAACUUGUUGUAUUACUUGAUCCUGAAAGACAGUUCUUGCGGAAAGAGGGUGAAUCUCCAGUUGCUGAUUUCUUGUGGUAUUCUGCGGCCAGACCCUGCAGCAGAAACUGCUUUGACCGAGCAGAAAUCGCUCGGGUAAUGAAUGCGGCUGGUAGGAGACGAGAUGCCCUUCCUCAGGACAUUCAAAAAGGAUUAGACCUUGGUCUGGUGUCACCUGAGAUUCUGCAAAAUUUCUUUGAUUUGGAGCAGUAUCCUCUUAUUUCAGAGCUUACACAACGGUUUCAGGGUUUCCGAGAAAGGUUGUUGGCAGAUCCCAAAUUCCUGAAUAGAUUAGCUAUUGAAGAAGCGAUAUCGAUAACAACAACACUCGUAGCUCAAUAUGAGAAGCGGAAAGAAAAUUUCUUUGAAGAACUCGACUAUGUUAUAACUGAUAGUGUGAGAGCAUCAGUUGUUGAUUUCUUCACAGUUUGGCUGCCUGCACCAACCUUGUCGUUUAUUUCAUAUGCUGAUGAGACAAUUGGGCCAAACAGCAUAGAUGCCCUAAGAGGCCUCCUAGGAUCCAUACCUGACAAUGCAUUUCAAAAAAGUCUUGGUGGACAAGAGUGGACUCUGAAUCUUAGGAUUGCUUCAGUUAUUGUCGGUGGCUUGAAACUUGCUGGUGUUGGAGUUGUUUCCAGUUUUGCAGCUGUGGGAUCUUCGAAUGCUUUGUAUGCAAUACGAAAGUUCAUUAAACCAGAGUUGGGUGUUGGUGAACAAGCAAAGAGGUCUCCUAUGCUGAAGACGGCUCUUGUGUAUGGAGGUUAUCUGGGAACAUCUUCAAAUAUUCGUUAUCAGAUAAUUGCUGGUUUAAUAGAGCAUCGCAUUUCGGACGAGCUUUCUUCUCAACCUCUACUUGUAAACAUGAUAUCAUUUGUUGUUCGAGUAGCUAACUCGUACUUUGGAACUCAGCAAUGGAUUGAUCUUGCGCGCUCUACGGGUCUGCAAACUCAGAAAAGUGUCACAACUUCCAAUGAACUCCCCGAGGCGUUGAACCAGUCUACAGUCGAAUACAGUACUACUGAAGAAGCAAGUAUCGAUGAUCUCAAGAAUCAAUGAUAUUUAUGCGGCUGUGCGACUAGGUACCAACUGCAGUUUUGAGACCCUGUUUGAUGCAGCAGACAAAGGGUAGUCAUCAAAGUAUGUACACGAACAUUCAAUACAAUUUGAGGCAGGUCAGCAAUGUCUUCAAGCUCCUUCAUCAUCUCUUGUGUCAGAUGAUUCUUCCAAUCUCCGACCAUACCUUUCCUGAAGAACAUGUCAUACUUAUUUCCGCUCCAGUGAACUCCCUCUCCUCUCUCUUUGCUUGUACUCCUCAGCUUCUCGAAGCUACACUCUUUCACGAUCUCCUCCACUAUUGUCUUACACCCCAAGAACUCGGCGAUCUUCCUCACGGUUUCUUCCGGGUUUGCUUUCAGAUCUUCGUAAGUGACAAACAUCACAUGGUCUCUUGCUUCCCAGAACUCAAGGACGUGUUCAAAGUAGGGACCAGCCGGGACAAGGCCUUUGCAGAACUCCUCGAAGGCUUGUCGGAUCGAGAUCUCUGUCCCGAACUUGUUGUUGUGGAGGUGCCAGAGAGAGACAAAAGUGUCUGCUGGGUGGCGAGUUAUGUAAAUGACUCUGCAGCCUGAGGUCUUGACAGUCUCCGGCAAGAAAGAGAGAGGAAGAUGAGUGCUGAAAAGCCUAGGAGAAGAGAUCUCUGUUAUGUCCUUGGACGGGUUUUCGCCAAACAUCUCGAUCUCCAAGAAAGGCACGACCUCAUGGGGAUUGAGAUGAUCCAGGUCUUGUAUAGAAGAUGACGAUGAUGUUGAGCUGUGUCGGAGAAUGGAGGAGGUCAGGGCUUCUCAGCCGUCGUCUCACUUGGCUCGGAUAUUUACAUAAUCGGGGGAACCGUCGUAAAGGGAAAAAGAAGCCGGAGAGUGUAUCUUCUCGGUUGCAACUCUCACC